GCCAGCCAAAGGUGUGACAGUUCAGUGGGGAAAGUGGAAGGGUGAUCUAUGGCACUAGGUGCCCCCUCUUCCUUAAAGUUUCUUUUUUUUUGCUCUCUCUCUCUCUCUCUCACUCUCUCUCUCUCUCUUUCUCUCUCCCAGGAGACCUGCUGUGCCCCAGGUCCAGACUGAAACUUUGCAAGGGAAAGAAUGUAUUAGAAGGUUCCAGCCCGAGGAUUUCAGAAACCAGGGUUACAGGCAAACAUUCAAAAAGAAGGGAAAGAAUUCAUUAGAAGUUUCCAGCCCGAGGAUUUCAGAAACCAGGCUUACAGGCAAACAUUCAAAAAGGUGGGGUACUAUGUGAGGAAGGGGAGAGACAGAGAGAGACAGCGUUGACCCUGCCCACUGGAACACAGAGGCCCCGACCUGAACUCUCGGUGACUCCUUUGGUUGCUCGGGCACCAGCCUGACCUCCCGGUAACUCCUUGGGUCACUCGGGCACUAACCUCAUCUGUGGCUGACCCACUGGGUCACUGAGCCCCUGACUAACCGGCCGAGAGGUUUCCGCGAAGGGCGAGUGGAGAGGGCACAGGGGAGGAAAAGGGGAAAGGGGCUUUGUCACUAAGGGGAGUCAGAGGCAAAGAAGAAGUUCCAGGGGUAAGUAUAUAGGGGAAUAAAAUGAUGCCAGAGAAACAGAAAAUACUAGCUAGAUCACUGAAUCCACUCUCCUGGAGGAUUUUGACAGGAUUUGCCUCUCAAACAUGCCAGCUGUGUUUUCAACCAUUAUGUGGUUCCCUUUC
rnacentral:lncRNA from 1 species